CCCCGUCUGGGAUGUGAGGAGCGCCUCGGCCCGGCCGCGACCCCGUCUGGGAGGUGAGGAGCGUCUCUGCCCGGCCGCCCCGUCUGAGAAGUGAGGAGACCCUCCACCUGGCAACUGCCCCAUCUGAGAAGAACAGCUGAUAUCUGUGCAGGAGCACAUGAAGUCUGACGUUUUUGUCGAGUCAGGAUCCAGGGCUUCUGCCCACAUCCCUUUCCAAUCAAGUCACACCAGAUUGAGCUAAUUCCAUGUCCUGAGCUCUUACUAUGUGCCAAGUGCCAGUGAGUCCCAGCAGGUGGAGAGAUGCAUGAGCCAGAAGAAACAAUUCCCCAUGUCCUCAACAGCUUGUGACUGGCGAGGAAGAUGGAAGCACAACCAACAAAAUCACAACACAAUGUGAUGCAGCAAAGAUGAAGCAUGAGGACAAGGCAUUGCCCUUGCAUAGAGGAGGUGGCAGGGCUGGAAGAAGGAGGUACUGGACCAGCAGAGGUCAUGUCGGAGCAGAUACUUGAAGACACUGUGGCUUCACCGGGACACAUGCACACAGAGAAACAUGUGCAGCAUCACAAAGGGUGAAAAACCCUGGUGUGCUCAGAGAUCCCUCUUCGUAUCUUUCAUAGUCUACCUGCCAAAGUGAGACCUGGGCUUCUUUAGAAUGACAGACCCAAAGAGGUGCCUCAAUGCCAUCACUCAAUAGCUGAUUGAAGCCCCAGCCAGCAGAUGCUGGGAGCAGCUGACCUUGGCCGAGCCCAUUGAUGGCAGAGGUAAGGAGCUGGCUCUCCAGGACAGAUGUCCUCAGGUUACAUGUGCAGCCGUCAGGCUUCUGCCUGAGCCACCUCCAAGCAAAUCUGCAGCCUUCUGGACUCUGUAAUGCACUGCAUGAGGCUGGGUUGAUGUCAAAUAAACUUGCAUCCCAAUUCUGGCCCAGAAAUUUUUCAUCUGUGUGACCCUGGGCAAGUCACUUUAUGUCCCUGACUGCAGUUAGCUUAUAUGCACAAAGAGGUUAUUUAAAUCCGUCUCCAAGAGUGGUUGUGGGGCUGGAAACAUGUGUAUAGCCAGUCUGGCACACAGUGGAGCUUAGUAGCUAUGAGAAAGGAAUGUUACUAAUCCCGUAAGGCUGGUGCGGGGGUGUGCAAGGACUCCUUGGAAGCAGAGGUUGGCAAGGGCCAGAGCUUCAGAACCUGUGGAAACAGGUGAAGACUUCUUUGAGAAAUCAAGUCUGUCUACUCUCCCGGGCUGCUUGAGUCAUCGGUUGACCCAGAUGUAGCCUUGGGCAGGUAUGCCACCAUCUUUACCCCUGCGUGACACUCCUAACAAGCCAGGACUCUACACCUGUGUGGAUGAGAUCACCACCAACCCACGCACACCUCCUCCCAGGACAGGUCCUGACCUUUGACCUUUGGGCUCCUCCCAGAGCUCUUCCAACCACCUGUAAACCAAAAAUAAAAUUCUAAGCCUCCCAACCAACUGUUGGACCUUCAUCUUGGCCAAAAGCAUUCCAAAAUAAACCCGAAAAUCUAGUUCAAGCCAUGAUGGGAAGGGAAGGUCAGACAUACCUCAUGAUACCCUCAUCCCUUUGGAAUUCAGGCACAACUGACCAGCAUUAGCAUGAAAACAAAGAUCUUUAGAAUGACAAAACAGAAUAUUUGGUAGCAAUAAGAUACCAAAUUCCAACCUAAUUCUAAUAUAGUAUCACAUGAAAAAUAGCAGGCCCUGAAAGAAAUUUUACCACAAAAGUAUUUUACCACAAAACAGAUGUCUUUGGCUGUUUUUUUUUUUUAAGAUUCUUGCUUUGCGCAGGCUGUAGUGCAGUGGCAGGAUCUUGUCUCACUGUAACCUCUGCCUCCCAGGUUCAAGUGAUUCUCCUGCCUCAGUCUCCCAGGUAGCGGGGAUCAGAGGCUUGCACCACCACACCUGGCUAAUUUUUGUAUUUUUAAUAAAGAAGAGGUUUUGCCAUGUUGGCCAGGCUGGUCUCGAACUCCUGUGUUCAUGAGAUACUUCAGCCUCAGCCUCCCAAAGUGCUGGGAUUACAGGUAUAAGCCACCGCGCUUGGCCUCUUUCACAUAUUUUGAAAUGGUCUGUGAAACUGUCCCUUGAGGAGAAAAUGUACUUUCUAUGGAGAAUCUCCUUCUGUUUCCAGGUCUUUUCGCUUAUCCAGGAGAGAAUUAACUGAGUCUGGCACCUUUUAAAAUCUGAUGAGAAUAUUUACCAUCCAUUCUCUCUGUACCCUGCUACCUGGAGGUUUUAUCUGCAAAAUAAGAACCUUGGACUCCACAAUCCCUUACUUAACCUAGACUCUCCUUUCUAUGGAUUCCAGGUCUUUAGAUAAUAACUUAACCCUUUCAGCCAAUUGACCCACCCUCUUCAAGUUGUCCUGCCUUUCCAGACCAAACCAGUGUGCAUCUUACAUGUAUUGAUUGAUGUCUCCCCAGCAUGUAUAAAACCAAGCUGUCGCCUGACCACCUUGGGCCCACGUUCUCAGGAUCUCCUGGGGCUGUGUCAUGGGCCAUAGUCACUCAUAUUUGGCUCAGAAGAAAUAUCUUCAAAUAUUUCACAGUUUGACUCUUUUCAUAGACAUGUUGAAAUGCCUGAAUGCUGGGACUUCAACCAUGCACCAUGUAUAUCUGUUUAAAAUAUGUAUUUGUUUUAAAAAUUAAUUCAAUUAAUUACAAAUAGAUUAAUUGAUAUUUCUGUUUUUAAAAUUAAGCCUGAUACUAUUGAAACAAACAAACAAACAAAAUACAGCUUAGAUGGGCCAGGACAUCCCUGCUGUGGAGGAAGGCUGUUUGAAAGAGCCUUUACCAUGCAUAGCUUGGUGGGGCAGCUUUCACAAAACCUCCACAUUCCUUGUAUAUGGCUGCAUCCACAUUUCCAAUGAACGGCAUGGGUAGAAUGGAUUGCACUGAGCCUCUCUGGACACUGAUGGACUUAGCAGCAAGGCCAUUAUGCUAUUUGAUGUUUGGAGGUGGAGGGCCCCCAGGGGUGAUUUGUUGUCAUUGUUGGGUACUGACUCCUGCAUUUGUGGCCAGAGCAUUUUCACAGUUUCACAGUUGCGCUCCACUCUGCAGGCUUGUCAGCAGCCUCUGCAAAUUGCAGGUCGCCUCCCUCAAGUUGCUAAACCUUGAAAAGAGCAGGACCUCAGCUGCCCAGACAGAGAGUGGUGUCUUUUUCCAAACCUAUGGCCAGCUGGGUGGGUGCCCCAAAGGAGCACUGGGGGUUCAGUGAGAUGUGAAUUCAAGUUCUAGAAUGUUCUCAUUAUGUGCAACCAAGGGGCUGCCUCUUGGUGGCUGUUGCCGCUUUCCUUUCCCUUAGAUGUGGUGGGAAGAGCCCCACUGCAGGGCGAGGAGCCAGGGGAGAGGAACAGAGCCUUUCUUAGCCCCAGAAUUGUGGCCUGAGAGACCCCAGUAAUGCCAACUAACACCAGGCGGGAUCCUAGGAUUGUCACAUGCGAGACUCAUAACAGGGGCUUAAGUGAGACCACGUGCUCUGCUGGCUAUCCUGGGUCUGUGAGAACAUUGACUGAGGUCCCAGGUGACAAUGGCUUGCUAUGCCCAGCUGGCGGAUGGUGAGAAGAGGCCUCAUUGAAACCACCUAUCGCAUCCAGGAUCUUUACCGCAGGACCUCUGAGCCACAGAGUGGGGUAGGGGAGCUCUGGGGAACACAGAUAGCUUUAUAGCUUCUGCUUAGACAAUAACUAUCUCUCAGGGCUGGGGGAGCCCAGGGCAGCCCGUGGGGCUCCACAGGGAAGCACCAAGAGAAGUUCCCUGGGUGGCCUUAGAACCAAUCUUCCCUCCUUUCUCAAGUACAUGCAAUGUGCUGUGGGAGGCCCUGGAGACGCACUGCCCUUCUACUGCAAUCUGUUUAAUGAUUAACUUCUUUUAGCUCUCUGGACAUGUUGAGGGUGGGAGGGGUGUCACCAAAUUGUAAAUCAUCCAGCUGAGGUGAGUGAUUUUUGCACCGGACAUUGUGCCAGGCAUGGGGGUAAAUGAGGCCCCCUGCCUGGCCCCCUCUUCUGGGUGCACAGUUGACUGCACAAAAAUAUGCUCUGCAACAAAGGAUCAAAACAAGCCCAGAGAAGAGAGGGUCUCUAAGGGGAUGACUGUGUGAGCUCAGCUC
rnacentral:lncRNA from 10 species